UUGUGCCCCAGCCGUCACCACGAGACGCUCUCCCUGGCAGCCUACCUUCUCUCAACCUGGGCCCCAGAAUGAGAUGCUUGGAGCGGACCUGAGCCAGCCAGACCUGCAGCUUCAAGCAGAGCAGCCCUAGAAAAGUCUGGCUAGGCCGGGUGCAGUGGCUCACGCCUGUAAUCCCAGCACUUUGGGAGGCCAAGGCAGGUGAAUCACUUGAGACAUGUCUCCAAGGAAACUCAUGUAAAGAUGUUCAUAGCAACAUUGUUUGUAAAAGCAAAGAAACCAAGAAUAACCCAAAUGUCCAGCAAGAGGAGAGCGGACAAAGAAACGCCGAGUUCUAUGGAAUACUACUGCAGCUUUUAAAAGGAAGAGGACAAGCUCUUUAAAUAAAUCUGGAUAGAUUUCCAAGACAUAUUGUUGAGUUAAAAAAGCAAGCUGCAGAACAAUAUGUACAGUAGGAUCCCAUUUAUGUUAAAAGACACUCAUAUGCUUGCUCAAAACAAUACUACUCAUUUACUAUACAAUACUAUGCAUAUACUCUAUUACCACACACGCACACACAUGCACACACAUGCAUGCACACACACACAUGCAGCAUGCACUCACUUUUAGACAAAGAUCCAGAAGGAUCAACCAUAAACCAAUAAUCAUGGUUACUUCCAGAGAAGAGAUGUAGAUGAGAGAGAGGUGACCAAAGGGAAUUUUAGCUUUGCCUGUAAGCUUUUUUUAAGAAGCAAGGAAAGUCUAUCUGUAUAUUAUUUGUACAAUUUAAAAGUAAUUUUCCUUUUCUUUUUUUUUUUUUUUUUGAGAUAGGGUCUUGCUCUGUCACCCAGACUGGAGUGCUGUGGCAUGAUCAUGGCUCACUGCAGCUUCAAACUCCUGGGCUCAAGUGAUCCUCCCAUCUCGGACUCCUCGGUAGCUGGGACUACAGGUGAGCGCCACCAUGCCCAGCUAAUUUUUGCUUUUUUUUUUCUGUAGAGAUGGGGUCUUGCCAUGUUGUCCAUGUCGGUCUUGAACUCCUGGGCUCAAGUGAUCCUCCCACCUCGGCCUCCCAAAGUGCUGGGAU
rnacentral:lncRNA from 1 species